rnacentral:rRNA from 1 species
CCGGUUGAUCCUGCCGGAGGUCACUGCUAUCGGGGUUCGAUUAAGCCAUGCGAGUUGAGAGGGUUUAGACCCUCAGCGGACUGCUCAGUAACACGUGGAUAACCUGCCCUAUGGUGGAGAAUAACCCCGGGAAACUGGGGAUAAUACUCCAUAGAUUAGAGAUACUGGAAUGUUCUUUAAUCGAAAGUUGAGGCGCCAUAGGAUGGAUCUGCGGUCGAUUAGGUUGUUGUUGGGGUAACGGCCCAACAAGCCUGUAAUCGAUACGGGUUGUGGGAGCAAGAGCCCGGAGAUGGAAUCUGAGACACGAUUCCAGGCCCUACGGGGCGCAGCAGGCGCGAAAACUUUACAAUGCAGGAAACUGUGAUAAGGGAACCCCGAGUGCCCGUAUACGCGGGCUGUCCAGGUGUUUAAAAAGCAUCUGAAGAAAGGGCCGGGCAAGACCGGUGCCAGCCGCCGCGGUAAUACCGGCGGCUCGAGUGGUGGCCACUAUUAUUGGGCUUAAAGCGUCCGUAGCUGGACUCUUAAGUCUCUUGGGAAAUCCGCCGGCUUAACCGACGGGCGUCUAAGAGAUACUGGGAGUCUAGGGACCGGGAGAGGUGAGAGGUACUCCGGGGGUAGGAGUGAAAUCCUGUAAUCCCCGGGGGACCACCGAUGGCGAAGGCAUCUCACCAGAACGGCUCCGACAGUGAGGGACGAAAGCUGGGGGAGCGAACCGGAUUAGAUACCCGGGUAGUCCCAGCCGUAAACUAUGCGCGUUAGGUGUACUGGUGACCACGAGUCACUGGGGUGCCGAAGGGAAACCGUGAAACGUGCCGCCUGGGAAGUACGGUCGCAAGGCUGAAACUUAAAGGAAUUGGCGGGGGAGCACCACAACGGGUGGAGCCUGCGGUUUAAUUGGAUUCAACGCCGGAAAUC